CCAGGCAUGUGCCGGUAAAUGUUAGGUUGCCUGCUCUGGGAAACCAUGCUGUGAGGCAGCCCAAGGUAGAGACCACACGGAGAAGAUGCCAGGUGGAAUAUUCCAGUGGACAGCCCCCAGUGAGGUGUCAGCCAACAGCCAUUUCCAGGCAUGUAGGUAAAACAACUUCAGAUGAUUCCAGGCUUUGACAAGCCAGCCCUACUAUAGCCUGUUCAAAUUCCCAA
rnacentral:lncRNA from 10 species